GACAGAGGAGUCAUCUGAGGAUCCUCCUUGCGAUGUUUGUGGAUACAAGGAUAAUUAUGAUGGCGACGAGAUGGUGUUCUGUGAUGAGUGCAAUGUUCUAGUUCAUCAGAAGUGCUAUAACAUACCAGUACUACCUGAAAAAGAUUGGAUUUGUAAACCUUGUUUAGAAGGAGUACAACCAAAGUGUGUUUUGUGUAACCAGUAUAAAGGGGCAAUGGUGAAAACAAGAGACGGAAAAGAAUGGGUGCAUGUACAGUGUGUAUGGUGGCUUCCAUGUAUAAAGUUUGAAGAUGGGGAAAAGCUGGAGAAAUUGGAAAGUCUUGAUAAG